rnacentral:lncRNA from 1 species
CUUCCUAUCAGUACCUAUAGCCCUCUUCAUGGAGGGUGUUAAAUUUACCCCUGCUUACCUGCAAUCUACAGUAAGAACUUCUUUGUUGAAAAUGAUUGGUACUGCUGUUAGCAUUCUCAAAUCAAAAUACAUUACUCUUUCCGUAACAAAAUUAAGCAAAAAAGUACAUACAUGGAUCAAAUCCAUGUAAUUUUUUAUUUAUAGUUUUGUUACUGAGUGAGUAUUUUGAUGAUGCUACUAAUAUAUGAUUGAUGUCAUUUUUAUUCACAGGGAUUAGAUGUUCAACAAGUGUACAUUAGAUCUCUUCUUGCUGCGCUUUGUUACCAUGCGUAUCAGCAAGUGAGUUUUCAUCUUCUAUGCACAUUAUAUUUUCCCCUUUUAUUCAAGAGUGUUACAAUUUCCACUUCUUUUUGUGAAAAAAUAAAUCAAGACUUCAUUAGUUAUAAUUCACUGAAAACAAAAUAAAAUUAUUUAGUAUGAAAUGGUUUAUCAUAUGUGCAGGUUUCUUAUAUGAUAUUGGAGAGAGUAUCACCUGUUACUCAUUCUGUAGCAAACUGUCUGAAGCGUGUGAUAGUUAUAGUGAGCUCUGUCAUAUUUUUCCAAACACCUGUCUCACCAAUUAACGCAUUAGGUACUAAAAUAAAAUUGCUUCCUUCUUUUUAACCAUAUAUAUCUCUUGUUGAAACUGAAAAUUUUAUGUGCUUAUUAAUUCUCUGCAGG